GAGGAGGGGGAAGGCUGACUGAGUGGUGCUAAUUUAGAUAGGAGUACACGGCUCUGGGGGGCUGUGGCACAGAAGGGUAAGAAUCAUCUGUACUUUCUUGUGGGCCAGAGAUUGGUUUCCUGCAACUCUGAAAACUACUAAAGAAGAUCUUGCUCUUCCAAACUGUUGCUGUUGUUUGUUUCAAUCUAGAAACACCUCCUGAGUACUGGAGUAAAUUUUAAAAAAUGAAUCCACCCUUGGUUACACAGUGAUAUGUUUAUAGAGGAUGAAGGGUUUUUCCCUCACAUCAUCCAAACAUUUUCUUAGCUGCCAGCACUUUGCUGAACGGCUCUUCCCAGCCCUGCAAGGAGGAACUCUGUGAAGCUUCGCUUCUCAGGAGCUAUGAUUAUUACAUGUUCCUCUUGGAAGGAAAGAAUUAAUUGCAAUUUUGAAGACGUAAAUGUCGCCACAGUGAAGUUUUCCAACAUGAGGCCAAACGUAGAUCUCUUUAAAAAAAGAACAAAGAAAACAACAACAAGAAGGGCCCAGGGAUGAUCCACUCACUGGCGUACACUGAGAGAAGAAAACUGCAGGAAGUGAGCAGGGCUGUCCAGUUUUGCCACGACGACGCAGAAAUUAUUCCUCCGCGCGCCACGCAGGCGCUAGGCUCUCUCAGCUAGAGCUGCCAGGUCAACGGUCAUGUUUAUUCAGACUGCUGAAGGAAUGCAAAUGAGAUGCAUGCUGCAGAGGAACACGGGGAAGUUUACCUAGUUUAAUCGAGUUUAUAGUUUCUCCUGUCUCCGCUUGGAAUACACUUAAAGGGAGUCUCACGCAAUCUUAUGGGUUAAUCCCUGUUCACACCGGGCUUGACUCAUAUCAGACCUGGCGUACUGAGGCACCCGAGGCUCCCCUGACAAGGGGCUCUAAAGAGAUGGACUGCCACCGAUCUCCUCGAAAUGAGCCAGUUGCACUUGGCCGAUAAAACCAGAGAUUUACUGGAGCAGACAGGCCUCAGUUUAAACAGGCUUGUCUCUCUAUUGAAACCCCUUCUGUCACUUGAAUCCGUCAUCUCCCUGUCAGGCAUCAUCAGCUAAAACAAUGGAGUGGCGUCUGAGUUUAGCUGAAAGGGGCCUCAUGUCAGAUAAUGGGUAGGAAUGUGUUAUCCUGAUCAGCAGUGCUGGGUCCACCUGUGCGGUUCUCUACCUGUUCUGAUGGGGGUGGUGCUAGCUCAGGUGCAGCGUAAAGGUGUAAAAACUUUACAGCCAAGGUAAUGAUAAUGAGUUAGAAAGGAAAAGAUGAUUUCGGUGCUGAUUCAAUAGGAGAAGUGCUAGGUAAUAGUUAAAACAGUAAUUUUCUUUUUCUGGGAUUUCCACGUUCAUUUUUCUUUAAUAUAUCUGUCUUACCCAAUGCCUAAGCUCCACUGGUAGACAGAAAUAUCCUCCCAAGGAAGAAAAUGUAAGCUGGAUGCAUUAAAGUUUAUUGGUUAUAGUUUCUUCUUAAGGGAGCAGUGGUAAAUGAGGCGACUGAAUUACAGAGUGUUUUUGUGCAUGGCCCGACCCCUGGAGAAAAAGUCUGUAUAGGUUGGAGCAGCCCCAAACUAGGAAGCAGAUAUUCUGAAUACAGUAGGGGAUUCAAAUAAGAUACCUAACAGAUAAGAACCAAGUUCUUCACAUCUCUAGCAUCCCUGGAGCCCUGCAGUCAGCCUUGUAUGUAGUAGGCCCUCAGUAUAUAUUUUGCUGAAGGAAUAAAUAUAUAUACAUUCCUUUUUGACAUUAAUUUAAUUUGCCUUGGUGGUGUUCUCUGGACACAAAGUAGGUGUAUUUCAAACCUGCCUUAGAAUGAUAUAUACUUAACUUUUCAGUAAUUUAUUAUUGUAUUUUCCUGUUAGAGAAGAAGGUUGCAGCUUUGUAAAAAUGGAGUGCAUUCAUAUUGAAGCUAAGGGAAUGUCACGGCAUCAAUCAAUUCCUGCAGUAAGGGCCUCUCCUGCAUGUGUGGGAGUUGCUCUGGCAGUAAAUGUUCCUUCUGAGGUGUCCCCUGGCACCUGCAUUACUCUCUCUUCCAUUUCCCCGUAUUUGAUAAGUUGGUUUAUUUCUGAGUGUAUCUGAGUGGGUUCCCUGGUUCUCUCACAUACACUGUUGAGUGGGAGGUGUGGAUCAGUAUACAGAAGGGGCUCCAAACUGCUGCAAAGUCAAGAGGUAUUCUUGAUAAGCUGGCCAACUGUCCUGUUUUGCCCAGUUUGUCCUGCUUUUAGCACCGAGAAACGUCUUGUUCUGAGGCAAAUAGAGACAGCUGAUUGAUCAUCUUAAUCUUGAAACUUGAGAGGUCAGGUUUUUGACCCUUAUGUUGUGGGUUUCAGGUAGAUACUGAAUUUCUAAAAGUUAUAUGAGUUUGAAGAUUCAGGAAAAUUCAAGGCUUUUAUAAGUUUGUGAAAAAUGUUUAAAACAAUAUUCGUAUAGUUUAAAAGUCACUCAUCUGAUGCACUCUCUCUCUCUAGGUGUGUGUAUAUUUAUUACACAUUUUUGGUACAUAAAUUAAUGGGACUCGGUGUGAUAUUUCCAUACAUAUAUACAGCAUGCAUUGAUCAUAUCCAGCCACCCAUCUCCCAUCUUCCCCUGACCUCCAGCUCAGCACUCUUCCCAGUUCCUAGUGAUCACUAUUCUACCAGCAGUUUGACUUUUUUGGUUAAGUGUCUGCAUAGGGUACAUAUCUUUCUGUAUCUGGUUUAUUUUACUUAACAUGAUGUCCUCCAGUCCUAUCCAUUUUGGUGCAAGGGAUGGUCUUUAGUUUUCUUUUAUGUCUAAAUCAUGCAUCACUGCACACCUGUUAAUGGAUACCCAGACGAUUCUGUAUCUUAGCUUUUACAGUACCACAACAAGCAUGGGCUCUAGAUAUAUAACCAGGAGUGGGGUAUCGAGUCACAUUUUCCAUCCCAUUCUCCACAGUGGCUGCUAAGAUUCACAGCCCACAUCUAUAGUCAGCUUGCAAGUGUAUCCCCUCUUUAGGAGCUAUAGCUUGAUUAGCAGAAUGUGGAUGGUAGUUCUCUUUUGUGAGAGGAUGGGGCAGUUCUGUGGUGGAGCCAGGCUUUGACCCAGAAAUCUUUGCUUCUGACCACUCAGCUAAGGGCCACUGUGUGGUAACAGUGAUGAAAGUGACCAGUGGUGGUAUGUUCAGUGUUAGUGGAAUUCUUUAUUGUUAUUUUCUUACAAGAUCAAGACUCUUGUAAGGGCCAGAAUCUGGCCUUGUUUAGCCUUAAGUUCUCCUUCACAUCUUGUGGCUUUCAUGAACCAAGGCAAUCUUUUGACUUUUGAAGGGACUCCCCAGCCCAAUGGCAGCGAUGUUGACACAGAAGAGCCUCACAGUCGCAGUGCUUUCCUUUUUACCUUUCCUUUCCCUCAUCUUCUACUUACGAUCGCCUUGGGCUUUUUUUUCUGGCUACCUCUCAUGGAAAGUGGUGGUGAAAACCUCAGUCAUUUACAUGGAUGUGGAAGAAUCAAGCCUUGCUAAUUCUUCUGUGUAGAUGUUUAGCUGUGUAUGUAUGUUUGCAUGUAGAUGAGAAGAAGGCACAUGUGGCCCUACUAACGUUCAUAUGUUGCAUUGGUCAGCAUAUCCUUUGCCUGGACAGAAUACUUUACAUGCACACCUUGAAGGAGGAAAGCUUUAUUUUGGCUCACAGUUUUAGAGGUUUCAGCGAUGGGUGACUGGCUCCAAGGCAGAAACAGCAGGACAGAAGGGUGUGGUAGAAGAAGGCUGCUCAGUUCACAGCAGCCAGGAAGUAGAGAGCAGGAAGACAGGAAGGCAAGGGCCGGGGUCAGCUAUAAUCCCAAGGUCACACCACCGUGACCCACCCAGAGAGAAUCAAAUCUAUCUCCUAGGUGUUUCUCAAGCCACUUAAGUCGGCAAUCAAGAUUUACUAUCACAUAUAUUUUUCAUACGGAUUUUAAUAUCCAAACACUUAAAAAUUUCUUCUAAACCACCCCAAUUUACUUGCAGAAAAAGAAAAUUAAUUGUUCUAUUGCUUAUAAGCAGAUAUUUGAAGAGAGGGCCUGUGAAAAUAUCCCAAAGUUAUGAUACCUUAAAGGAUAACACUUUAUUUAAUAGUAAAUAGAUUGCCAAGAAUAUAAUUUCUUUGGAAGUUGAAAGCAAAUUCAGUUCAAUCUACAAAAGUUCUUUCAAAUAUGAGCACUGCCUAGCAAUAAAAUGUGGUGCCUUGGGAGCAGAUGGGCCCCACAUCAUUAGAGGCAUUCAGAACAAGGCUCAUAUCUCUGUGAUGCAAUCGAGGAAAUUUCUGUAUAUCAUAGAAACUCCCAUUAUUUAAUAGCUGAUACUAACGGUUAGGAAAUUCUUACCUAAGCUUAUUUUAAUAGAAGUACUGGAAUUAAAAGAAAUAUUUUCCAAUAGUUUUCAUGGAAGACAUAUGGCAUUGGUGGACUCAGUAGAUAAGCACAGAGAAAACUCUAGAUCCCAGAGUGCAGAGAAACCAGCUUAGUGGUGCUUCUUUUCAAAUGAUACCAUCCCACUUGCCUAGGUUACAUUAGAAGGUCUCAGUGUCUUCCUUGUUCUUUGCCUUCAUGUCUUCUUAGGUCCAGCCCUAGGGUUCCUGUCGUCUUCAGAGGGGUGGGGAAGGGAUUUUAGAGCAUGGGAUUGUUUCGCUAACACUCCAGGCAGGACCUUGUGAAAAGAGUGGUAAUUCUGGAAAAGAUAAGGAAGAAAAACCUUAAGAAUGGGCAAGAAAUAGCCCUUAAGGCUUCUGCAUAUUGUGGAUUUUUUUUUCUUUUUUGCCUUUGCUGUAGUAUGAGAGUAUUUUAAGGAUUUCUAUUAAUCUCACCUUUAUUUGGGAAAUUAUCAGAAUCCAGAAGUGUUGCUUCAUAGGAGAUGGGCCCAGAACAGGGAGGGACUAUCUAGUAGGACCCAGCUUCUCCAGACCUACAGAGAAAACAGCUUCUGAGACAGACUGUGUACGAAGGAGUCUAGGAAAUGUGUUUCACUGUGAUCUCAGGAAGACGAGGAGCAAUGAAUGAGUGUAUCUAAAAUAUACAGGCAAAUGACUAGGACAAAGCGAAUCAGCAUAGACAUUUGGUGCAGAGAUAUAUGACCUUUUAGAUACCAGAGAUGAGACAGCUGGCCUGUUGUCAAUGUGCACCUUGCAGAGCACCUCCAGAAUGGUGCCUGAUUGCACUGAUUGCUCCUUUCCCCCUGUUUUUCAAAGGUGCCACGUAACCCAUUCACGACGGAUAUGUAGUCACUAAGUAGUUUAAGCCCAGGUGCCUGUAGCUAUGACAUGAUGUUUGAAAGACUGGGAUGCCAACUGAUGUGCUCAAGCUGAGUAAUGUUUUCUUCACCUCAGUGAUACAGGACCUGAAGACCCCACCAACUGGCAGGCAUAUUCCUUCCUGAAAGGCAUAGCCGCAUAAAUUCACCAGGCAGGGAUGACUCGAUGAAAACGAGCAAGCUCCGUGUGUAAGGAAGAAAGGAACAGGCGUCCUGAAGAGAGACAGAAGGAGACGGAGUCUCACAUUCCAGCCCGUGUGUGGAUACGACCAGUAACUUUUAGGAAGAGGAUGAGUCAGAGCUUGAGAUACAGUCUUUGAAGUCUUGAAACUUCAAGUGCCAACUUUGAGCCAUUGCUGACAGAAGGCCUGAGAGGUCUCUAUAAUCAGAAUAAAAACUCAUGAAAGAAAACAUCUCUUUCAAUUUUUGAUAGUUUACAAUGCAGAGGAUAAUCUGUGAAUGAUUUAGAAAAUAAUGGGAGAGAAAGAGGAUCAGCGUCCAGAUUCAGAACACUGACAUUUUCCUGAGUCACUGGCUGCCUGGCGGAAAGAGAGGGAGAUACUACAUAUUGACCAGAACUCCAGAAAUAUAAACAAGACACUGCCACAGAGGAUGUGGAAGGGCCUGGGGGAGUACAUCGAAGGAGCCCCUAACACAGGCUGGGUAAGUAUGAGCGGAGGGAAGAACGAAAAACAAAGACAAGAACAAAAACAACCACCGUGGGCCGGAAGAGAUGAGCUGAUGUUUUCAGGGGAAGUGUAAUUAGAGGGAAUAUCCCAGG